GAUGAACGCUAGCUACAGGCUUAACACAUGCAAGUCGAGGGGCAGCACAGAGAUAGCUUGCUAUCUUGGGUGGCGACCGGCGCACGGGUGAGUAACGCGUAUCCAACCUGCCCAUUACUCGGGGAUAGCCUUGCGAAAGUAAGAUUAAUACCCGAUGUUGUUUAAGUUCCGCAUGAAACUUAAACCAAAGAUUUAUUGGUAAUGGAUGGGGAUGCGUGACAUUAGGUAGUUGGUGAGGUAACGGCUCACCAAGCCUACGAUGUCUAGGGGUUCUGAGAGGAAGGUCCCCCACACUGGAACUGAGACACGGGUCCAG
rnacentral:rRNA from 1 species